rnacentral:rRNA from 1 species
CUUGAACGCUGGCGGCAUGCCUUACACAUGCAAGUCGAACGGUAACAGGUUAAGCUGACGAGUGGCGAACGGGUGAGUAAUGUAUCGGAACGUGCCCAGUCGUGGGGGAUAACUGCUCGAAAGAGCAGCUAAUACCGCAUACGACCCGAGGGUGAAAGCGGGGGAUCGCAAGACCUCGAGCGAUUGGAGCGGCCGCUAUCAGAUUAGGUAGUUGGUGAGGUAAAGGCGCACCAAGCCGACGAUCUGUAGCUGGUCGGAGAGGACGACCAGCCACGCCGGGACGGAGACACGGCCCAGACUCCGACGGGAGGCAGCAGUGGGGAAUUUUGGACAAUGGGCGCAAGCCUGAUCCAGCCAUGCCGCGUGCGGGAAGAAGGCCUUCGGGUUGUAAACCGCUUUUGUCAGGGAAGAAAAGGUUCUGGCUAAUACCUGGGACUCAUGACGGUACCUGAAGAAUAAGCACCGGCUAACUACGUGCCAGCCGCCGCGGUAAUAC